GUGUACAUUUCCUCAUCACUAAGAGGCCUCCCUUUGUGUAUUCUCUGACCUCAUAAAUUACCUCUUCAGACCCUUUCUCUUUCCUCCUUACUUGUAUUUUUGAUGUUUGCUGGAUUGGCAAGACCUUCUGUCUACUUCCUUUUUGCUGCUGAUUUCCUGGGACUUCCCAUAUCUGCUUUGGCCUGUUUUGAUUUCUUUAGGCAUCUCUGUAUGCAUUCAUGCAAAUUACACAGAAAGCCUAAGGGUUUUAUUAAUCAGGGGCAGCUGACUCUGUAAUAAACAAGCCCAAAUUGAAAUGGCUUAACAGAAAUGAGCAAUUCAAAUGCCUGCUUUGCCGGUUGGUGACUCUUCCGAGCAUCUCUGUAGGUCACAGAGUUCCCAGCUUGCUCUUCCAUCCAGUUAGGGGAGGUUCUCAGGCACAAGCCCUAGGUCAUGUACUCUUGCCCAUUUCCCUGGCCUGGAACUUAGUCACCCAGUCCCAUAUCCCUCCAAGAGAAGCUGGAGAUGCCUGGCCCAGGAGUCAGAGGAAGUGAGGUUUGGAGGCAGGCCUCCACAUCCCUGCAUUAGAUGGCUGUUAACACUUGUUUUGCUGCCAGUGGUGAUGGAAAGGUCUGCCUGUGUUUCCUCCCCUGAUGUCACUUCAGUAAAGGACUUUACAGGUGUCCCUUCCACAACAAGAUCCUCAGAAGAUACAUUCUCCCAACCUUGGACCUCCCAGCCUCCACAACGACGAGCUGGAUGAGCCUCUAUUCUUUAGCCUUCAUCCAGUAAUUGAUGUACCCAGAUGCAGAGAUUCACAACCAAGCACCAGGCCAAACUCUAGGAAUCCAGUCGAAGAGAGGGAGGAGGGAAUACAUGAACAAGGGAGAUGAAGAUCACGAUGGAGCAAUCUCUAGAGACAGCUGAACCAAACUGGUGGACACUCAUAAAAUCCAGACCAGCAGUUGUGGAGCCUCCAAGGGACUGAAGUAGGCCCAUGGGAAAUGUAUAACUUGGUCUAUCCGAGGAUCACCCUGGCAGUAGGACCAGGAUCUAUCCCUGUUGCAUGAGCUUGCUUGGGGAAGCCCAUUCCCUAGGGUGGGAUGCCAUGCUCAGCCUUCAUGCAGGGGGAGGGGCUCGGUCCUGCCUCAACUUAAUGAGCCAGACUUUGUCAACUCCCCAGGGGAGCCCUUAUCUGUUGGAAGGAAUGGAUAGGGAGUGGGCUGCAGGGGAGGGUCAGAGGAGGGGUAGGAGAGAGAAUUUUGGUUGGAAUGUAAAAUGAAAUAAAAAAUAAAACAAUGGGAAAUAAAAAAGAGAAUAACUCAGCUAAAAGACAUCAUUAUAGUAUUUAUAACAACCAAACAAUAUUUGUAAAUAUAACAAUACUUAUAACAACUAAAAAUUAACUUAAGUUCUGAUGCAAAAUGACUCAUGGGUGGUUUUCACAGUACUCACUGGUGUAUCACUGCAGUCCUGACUCUGAACAGACUUGCAUGAACUUUCCGAGUGCAUACAACCAUUCCAGGCAAUGUUGAUAAGCGCUACCUCUAGAGCCAUGGCUCAAAGUCAAUACUACUGUCUGAGAACUGCCAUGCUUUUAUUGUGCCAAGGUUUCUGCUCUUAUAGAAGCAUAAUGACUUCAUUACAGAAAAUAAAGACCUUUGCUAUUUUUCUAGCAUCAUCCCUCAGCAUGUAUCAAAUCAGAGUACCUUUCUAUUUUAUUGUGGUAGGUGGAUAAUCUAUCUCAUUAGCAUAACAAUUUACUUUUUGUCCUUAAAAUGACAAAAUUAUAUGUAUAGCCAAAAAGUUGUCAAAUACAUUUCUUUAUGACUUUGA